UUGGGGCCUCUCUCUUGCAUCGAGGCUUUGCUCAAAACCUCUGCCGACCCCGAACGGCGCACCGUACGUGUGGGCCCAAAACCGCGUACUUCUGCUCGUUCCAUUACAGUGCCUCAGGGGCGCAGUCCUCAGGCGAAUCUAUUGCAGGAGCAGCGAAAUAAAAAAUGGGACCUUGUCGCUCAGCAGCUGUCGGAGAGGCGGCCCAAGAAGUGAUGGCGCUGGAAGUACGAUCAACAUCUUCACCCAAAAGACCCACGCACCGAACGAUUGGGCGUGCAGUGCAGUGCAAAGUCAGUCGGCGAAUUAUGCGAAACAAUCCCGUGCCCCUUGUACCGAACCCCCGUGGUGCCCUUUGUGUUGAAGUGUGUGCCGUUCCCAAUGUUCCCCCUGCUUGCUCGCGUGAAGUGUUCAAAUAGGAUUAAGUUAUUCUUGCAGUAGUACAGGAAAGGAAUGCUCCACCAGACACCCAAGCCAGUGAUGAGUGAAAUUGGACUUAAUCGAUCUUGUCGGAAGCUCUCGGUUAAAGUGUGUGCGUCAGUGUGUGCGUGCUACGUUCCGGUCUUUACCAGCCAAGCGCUAAAGAGCUUUAGGGGCUGCUUAACGUCACUCGCGGGAGGUUUCUUGUUGCUUGAAUGUUUGCGCAAAAAAUUACUCACCUCCAUAAACUCUUCGGCGUGCGUCAAGCGACCGGUGAGCGCUGUGAUUUUUGGAAAUUCGUGCGUAGCAGUUGACCGAUGUUUGUGAGCCGCCGACUGUGUUUACCACCCAUUCGGACCCAGGCCCAAUGGAGGGCCAGGAAAGCAGCCGUCAGCCGACAGAAGCAGACGGUGGCAAGGCAAUUCCGCUGGGCCCCGUGUGCACAGAGGAACGGACGGUGUGAUUUAUUCGCUUCGUUUACGAUACAAGACGGUGUCGGGACGGGUGCAGCACAACCAUGGACGUAGCACCAGACACGCCAGUGGUGCGCUGAAAUUAAUCCAAACACUACCCAUCCAAACGGCGCAAGCGAAAAUAAAUAAAAACACACAAAGUGCAACGUAGAAAGAGAAACAUUCCCAACGGGACCGGUAUCGUUUGAAAAUGUCAAAUUUGCACACUGCAAUCUGGGCGAGCAGAUUCUCCCAUUUGCCAUGCAACGCGCCAAAAGCUGUGUUACAAAUGUCAAACUACACGGGUUGCAAUCAAAAUAACGAAACGAACGAAGCAAGUGUAAUUUUAAAGUUCUUCGUUUCGUGCCGCAGAAUCAUCUUCAUUCGAGAGUCCUCUUCAAACUAGUGCUAGAAUGGAGGAAUGAGAUUCUAUCCUGCAUCUGUUUGAGUUUAAGUUUGAGUCUUCCAAGAGAAUUCUAUUCAGCAGCGUCCUUCGGUGGGGAAGAUUAAUUUUACAGACUACUUCGCGAGAUGGGAGACGCCAAAAAUAUGAUGAUGAAAUACACGAUGGAGAGUGAGGGCGAAGCCGAGACGUUGCUAUACAGCGGUUCAGUUAAGGUGUGUUCAACAAGAGCAUUUUGGUCCUAUCAAGUAUUACCCAGGAUCAACAAACUCCUACACGGUCUCUACAAAGUAAGCGAUCGACAGCUAUCGCAUCGAACGUGCCUCUAACCAACUCACCCACUCAUCCUCAUCCCGCGCUGUGCCGGCGGGACAACUGUCACAAAUAGUUGGAAAUUAAUUACUACGGAUGAAAAGGAGAACAAAAACACACCACCCC